GGCCUUGUGGCCUAAUGGUUAAGGCGCUAGAUUUCGGCUACGGAUUCUCUAGAGAUUCGGGGUUCGAAUCCUCGCAGGGUCG
rnacentral:tRNA from 1 species